GACGAACGCUGGCGGCGUGCCUAAUACAUGCAAGUCGAACGCAGUGGGGACGGUUGAGUAACACGUGGGUAACCUCCCAUCAGAGGGGAUAACACUUGGAAACAGGUGCUAAACCGAGACUGAUGGAUGGACCCGCGGUGCAUUAGUUAGUUGGUGGGGUAACGGCUCACCAAGGCAGCGAUGCAUAGCCGACCUGGGAGGGUGAUCGGCCCCACUGGGACUGAGACACGGCCCAGACUCCUACGGGAGGCAGAAGUAGGGAAUGUCAUGCAAUGGACGAAAGUCUGACCCAGCAAUGCCGCGUGAGUGAAGAAGGUGUUCGGAUCGUAAAACUCUGUUGUUAGAGAAGCGGUAUCUAACCAGAAAGCCACGGCUAACUACGUGCCAGCAGCCGCGGUAAUUC
rnacentral:rRNA from 1 species